GACGAACGCUGGCGGCGUGCCUAAUACAUGCAAGUAGAACGCUGAAGGAGGAGCUUGCUUCUCUGGAUGAGUUGCGCACGGGUGAGUAACGCGUAGGUAACCUGCCUGGUAGCGGGGGAUAACUAUUGGAAACGAUAGCUAAUACCGCAUAAGAGUAGAUGUUGCAUGACAUUUGCUUAAAAGGUGCAAUUGCAUCACUACCAGUUGGACCUGCGUUGGAUUAGCUAGUUGGUGGGGUAACGGCUUACCAAGGCGACGAUACAUAGCCGACCUGAGAGGGUGAUCGGCCACACUGGGACUGGGACAAGGCCCAGACUCCUAAGGGAAGCAGCAGUAGGGAAUCUUCGGCAAUGGACGGAAGUCUGACCGAGCAACGCCGGGUGAGGGAAGAAGGGUUUCGGAUCGGAAAGAUCUGUUGUAAGAGAAGAAAGAGUGGGAGAGUGGAAAGUUCACACUGUGACGGUAUCUUACCAGAAAGGGACGGCUAACUACGUG
rnacentral:rRNA from 1 species